rnacentral:rRNA from 1 species
CCUACGGGAGGCAGCAGUGAGGAAUAUUGGUCAAUGGGCGCGAGCCUGAACCAGCCAAGUAGCGUGAAGGAUGACUGCCCUACGGGUUGUAAACUUCUUUUAUAAAGGAAUAAAGUGAGGCACGUGUGCCUUUUUGUAUGUACUUUACGAAUAAGGAUCGGCUAACUCCGUGCCAGCAGCCGCGGUAAUACGGAGGAUGCGAGCGUUAUCCGGAUUUAUUGGGUUUAAAGGGUGCGUAGGCGGAAGGCCAAGUCAGCGGGAAAAUCGCGGGGCUCAACCUCGCCCCGCCGUUGAAACUGGCGGUCUAGAGUGGGGGUGCGGUAGGCGGAAUGCGUGGUGUAGCGGUGAAAUGCAUAGAUAUCACGCAGAACUCCGAUUGCGAAGGCAGCAUACC